CCUACGGGGUGCAGCAGGCGCGAAAACUUUACAAUGCCGGCAACGGCGAUAAGGGGACCUCGAGUGCCAGGUUACAAAUCUGGCUGUCGUGAUGCCUAAAAAGCAUUGCAUAGCAAGGGCCGGGCAAGACCGGUGCCAGCCGCCGCGGUAA
rnacentral:rRNA from 1 species